UUCUAUGGGUAAUAUUGUACUAGCUGCAUCCCAAUUCUUCCUCUGUGAUGUUUACUUAAAUUAAUUCUUUCUACUUUCUUCUUGCUGGUCUCUUCAAUUCUUUGAGAUUCACUAAUUAAAAGUAGUCGCAAUUUAGCAUGUGUAUCUUAAUUAUUUACUCUUUUAGAUAUAAUUUCUAGCUAAGAUUUCUCCAUGCAUAUUAUUAACUACUUGAUUUGUACAUGUAUUGCGUUUCUUUGAUGAAUUUAAUUUUUAUAGCCAAUUAAUUAGUGCAAAAGUUAGAGUACAAAAAUGUAAAAUAUCAAGAAUGCCUAUGCCUUGAAUUAUUAAGUGAAUUGUGCAUCUAGGUUGUUUGAUAAUAUGCCUCAAUUAACUUAAUUCAAAGUUUCCCUGGUAAUUUUUGUUUUCGGGUUGCAGCAAGAUAAUAUGUAUCAUCAACAGAGUAAAAAAAAUAUUUUGGGAGAAUAUCAAUUUAUCUUAUCUUGGUGAUUUUGGAUCUAUUCUUCAAGAUGUGGGGCUACUAUGUUGUCUAUUAGUAUCAUCUUCCACAAACCUGGCAAGAAAAUAACAAGAUUGCAAGAGGUGUACAAAAAUUGAAUGACACUAACAUAAAAGGAAGCUUUGAUGACCUUGCCGGCUACUAUAUAGUAUGAGAGUCUUCACUUGAUUAUUGAUAUUUGAAGCCUUUGAUAGUGUUAAAUGUCCAUCCAUGAAUAUGACUGAUGUUGCUAGGCAAGUUGCAGAGACCAUGACUGAAGUUUGUGAGUGCAACAAAUGAAAAGGCGGUGACAUUAUGUUUUUAGUGAGAGGUGUUUAUUUUCAACUUGAAAAUAAAGAUGUAUGCACUUAAUGGAGUUCUAGAAGGAUCAUGACAAAAGUGUUGGAGGAUUGCCCAACAACAAUAUCCUAUGAACUGCUUCAAUUGGGUAUCACCCUCUCUCAGUCCUUAUUGGAGUUUUUGUGAUAAUUGAACUCUUUGGGGUAAAUUAUAGGACUAUAUAAUUUUGUACUCAAGUUUGUAGUUAUCAUCAAAGUAAGAGUGUCUUGUGUCUAAGAUAUUUUUACCUAUGAUGCUAAAGUAACUUUUGUACGUUGUGUUGGGCUCAUGCUCGGGCCAUGCCCUUCUAGUCUAGUAUAUAUAUGAGGGAAAGAGAA